rnacentral:rRNA from 1 species
UUCUAUGGCCAUAUAACCCUGAGCAUACCCAGUCUCAUUUGGUCUCAGAAGCUAAGCAGAGUUGGGCUCAUUAGUACAUGGUUGGGAGAAAUUUCUCAUCUAUGUAACCCUCUAAAGUAU